NUCCAGCUGACGAGUCCCAAAUAGGACGAAACGCGCAUCCUGGAU
rnacentral:hammerhead_ribozyme from 1 species